rnacentral:rRNA from 1 species
AGCGAACGCUGGCGGCAGGCCUAACACAUGCGAGUCGAGCGCCGUAGCAAUACGGAGCGGCAGACGGGAGAGUAACACGUGGGAACGUGCCCUUCAGUUCGGAACAACCCAGGGAAACUUGGGCUAAUACCGGAUACGUCCGUAAGGAGAAAGAUUUAUCGCUGAAGGAUCGGCCCGCGUCUGAUUAGCUAGUUGGUGGGGUAACGGCCCACCAAGGCGAUGAUCAGUAGCUGGUCUGAGAGGACGAUCAGCCUCACUGGGACUGAGACACGGCCCAGACUCCUACGGGAGGCAGCAGUGGGGAAUAUUGGACAAUGGGCGCAAGCCUGAUCCAGCCAUGCCGCGUGGGUGAUGAAGGCCCUAGGGUUGUAAAGCCCUUUCGGCGGGGAAGAUAAUGACGGUACCCGCAGAAGAAGCCCCGGCUAACUUCGUGCCAGCCGCCGCCGUAAGAC